rnacentral:tRNA from 1 species
GCAUUGGUGGUUCAGUGGUAGAAUUCUUGCUUUCCAGGCAGGGGAUCCAGGUUUAAUUCCUGGCCAAUGCA